CCGGCUCCUCGGCCAUUUCCUCGCUCGGCGGCGGCCGGGACUGAACUGACACCACACGAGCGAGCCGAGCCUGUUUCAGCUUUCUCGCGACCCACCCGACCUCGAGGAUGGUGAGUGGGCUCCUGGGAGUGAAACCGAUGUCCGAUUUGUCGAUUUGUCGCAGUCCAGAGCGAGAUGCUACGGUGAGCUCCACGUGAGGGCUUCCUCCACGCCUUCCCACUCUGUCGUGUGGGAUUAAUUCAGACAUUUUCUGAAGUAUUUACUUAGACGCACUCUCCUUCUGAGUCAGUAUGGACUUCGUUCAUCCCAUUUCCUUGAAAUAUGUCCACCUUCAUGGGUGAACACAGGAGCGAGCUUUCUUCCAGAGCACACGUGGAUAGUAUGUAUUUACAGAGACGUCAAACAAACAGACAGACAUACAAAGAACAAAACAUGUAAUAUUUGAGCUUCCCUCCCAAAGGGAGGACAGGUGCUUCUCUGGCUUGUAGUAAACGUUGCAAGAUUGGUAAUUUGA